rnacentral:rRNA from 1 species
CGGGGCUUAAAGUCUUGUAAUUGGAAUGAUGGGAAUUUAAACCUCUUCCAGAGUAUCAAUUGGAGGGCAAGUCUGGUGCCAGCAGCCGCGGUAAUUCCAGCUCCAAUAGCGUAUAUUAAAAUUGUUGCAGUUAAAAAGCUCGUAGUUGAAUUUCUGCUGCAUUGCUUGUGUCCCUCUGGGGUCUGUGCAUGUGGCUUUUUUCAAACGGAGUUUCUUUGUCUGAAUGUUUACUUUGAGAAAAUUAGAGUGCUCAAAGCAGGCUUUCGCCUUGAAUAGUUUAGCAUGGAAUAAUAAAGUAGGACUUUGGUUCUAUUUUGUUGGUUUUAGGUACCAAAGUAAUGGUUAAUAGGAACAGUUGGGGGCAUUCGUAUUUAACUGUCAGAGGUGAAAUUCUUAGAUUUGUUAAAGACGAACUACUGCGAAAGCAUUUGCCAAGGAUGUUUUCAUUAAUCAAGAAC